AGUGAACGCUGGCGGCGUGCUUAACACAUGCAAGUCGAACGAGAACGGAUUAUAGCUUGCUAUAAUUGUCAGCUAAGUGGCGCACGGGUGAGUAAUGUAUAGGUAAUAUGCCUCUUACUAAGGGAUAACAAAUGGAAACGUUUGCUAAUACCUUAUACUCCUUGUUAACUUAAGUUAAUAAGGGAAAGAUUUAUUGGUAAGAGAUUAGCCUGUAUUGUAUCAGUUAGUUGGUGGGGUAAUGGCUUACCAAGACUAUGACACAUAACUGGUUUGAGAGGAUGAUCAGUCACACUGGAACUGAGACACGGUCCAGACUCCUACGGGAGGCAGCAGUGGGGAAUAUUGCACAAUGGACGGAAGUCUGAUGCAGCAACGCCGCGUGGAGGAUGACACAUUUCGGUGCGUAAACUCCUUUUAUAUGAGAAGAUAAUGACGGUAUUAUAUGAAUAAGCACCGGCUAACUCCGUGCCAGCCGCCGCGGUAA
rnacentral:rRNA from 1 species